AUACCGCUAAUUCGUCAACUACGGCAGGAGUUCUUUCUUCUUGGGCAGGGAAUCCAUCUGUUUCAGUGACACACAGAUACAAGGUGCCAGUUUGCUGGAACAUGGCUGUGCGUUUGUUUGAGGCACGACAUCAUGCAGUUUUGUAUCAGAAAUACAGAUUCUCUCCCUCUGAAAAUCUCCAAAGUCUCAUCUUCUCCUACUUGGAAGAAAAGAAAGUAGACCCCAUUCGGCUGGCAGUGGAUGUUGGCUGCGGGUCGGGACAAAGCACUCGCAUACUUGCAGCUCAUUUUGAGAAGGUGGUUGGAACAGACAUCAGUGAAGCUCAAAUCGAGGCAGCCAAACAAGCUGCCUCCUUCCCAAAUGUUUCUUACCAUGUGUGCCCUGCAGAGGAGCUGCCAUUUGAGGAUGGUUCCGUGGACUUCAUUACUGCUUUUGCAGCUGCCCACUGGUUUGAUAUGCCGAGGUUCAUGAAAGAAGUGGAUCGAGUUCUCAGGCCACAUGGCUGUGUGGCCCUUAGCACCUACACUACAGACUUCAGUAUGCACUAUAAAGACUGCUCGGAAAGGCUUACAGAAAUCUUCACUGAGACCCGGGACCUGCUUCUUGAAUAUGCAGAUGAAAAAAUAAAACUUGUCUUUGCAGAGUAUAAAGAGGUGUUUGAGUCUGUGCCUUGUCAGGACAAGCGGAGAGUUACCCAGAUCUUAGACAAAAUUCCCAUGUCUGUUUCUGGGGUGAUCGGGUUAUUCCAGUCCUUCUCCAUGUAUCAAGCCUUUCUGAGGAGCGACCCUGAAGCAGCAAAAUCCCUCCUCCAAAAAACUGAACAAAGGUUCCUGGACACCAUGGGAGUUUGCUCUAAUGAAACCCAGGUAGAGAUUGGGAUAAGGAGUGUUUCUGUUCUAGGCUGCAAGGGGCCAUGAAUGGAAAAUCCAGUGAUGAUCCUAUAGCCAGAAGAAAAAUCUCGAUUUUUUGGUAUCUACUUGUAACUGAUGUUAUCACCAUUCAAUAAAGUCCAUGGCAAAACUCCCAUCCUCUUCAAUGGGAGAGAAAGGAAGCACGAUAUCAAAUAGUACCAAUAUUAGAAGGGCUUUCACGGCGUGGUUGCUUCCUAAUUAAAGAGGAAAAGCACGGUAUUCUGUCCAGCGUCCCUUCAACAAGCAUUGGAAGAAAUCAAGGACCCUUUGCCACAUAGAAGGCUGCAGAGAUUGACUCAUAUCUGGAAUAUGCAAUAAACAUCAUGUUCCCUAACAGCUGAGAGAUUUUUGGAGGGCUUUAUUGUCCUACUGAGUAAAAAUAGCUUGCAGCAAGAUCAACUGCUAUAUGUAAUUCCCUGUCAAUGGGGUAAGCAAAUAGGAACAGCAAUAAUGUUGUAGAGUUCUCGGAAUAAUACGUCACAGGCAUCUUUCAACCAAAGCCCUCCAAGGGUUGUUCCAGGUCGAUCAGUAUUACUGUCUGCGCUCCACAUGAAGUGAAGAAGAGACCAGCCCCAAACAUGCCAAUUACAGAACUUCUUAUUACAGGCCAGAGUUUCAGAAGAACUUGCCUUCCAUUCAGGCACCAAAAUAACUGACGGGAUUUUCUAGAAAUCUCAGCACCUUGGGUGCCUAGCUCCGUGUGAAAAUCUGGCCACGAAUGAGCGUUCUUGAAAAUCUGACUCCAUUUGUGGGUGCUGAGCACUUGAAAAUCCAGCCCUAAGUGUCUAAGAUAGCAAUUGUAAGUCACUCCCAUUAAUUCUGUGGUUAAAGAGUAGCAGCCGUGUUAGUGGGAGGUGACUCCCAGCUUGAGGAGACAUACCCACGCUAGCUCUGACUGAGCUAGCCCACUGAAAAUAGUGCAGCCGUGGCAGCACAAGCAGCGGGAGGAGCUAGCUGCCCCUAGUAUAUCCCUAGGGUCUCAGGUGGGAUCUUAGGGCAGCUAGUCCCUCCCACUCCUCAUGCCGCUGCUGUCACUUUAUUAUUAGUGCACUACCUCGAUCAGAGCUAGUGGGGGUAUGUCUCCAAGCUGGGCAUUAGCCCUCCAGCUCAGAUUUAGACAUUACCUAAGGGUGGAACUCAUCCCCUUACAGUGAAGAUCAUCCUUAAAGCUGGUGGUUAUUGUUAUGAUUAAUUAUUUGUAUUAUCAUAGUGCCUGGGAGUCCUGCUCAAAGACCAGAAUUUCACUGUGCCAGGUUCUGUACAAAUGCAGAACAAUAGUCACGACAUUCUCAGGCAGUUUAUUAUGAUUGUAUUUAAUAUUCCGGUAGCAUCUUGUUGUGCCAGGCAUUGAACACACGCAUACGAAGGCCUGGUCCUGCCCCAAACACCUGACAGUCUAGGGCUCUGAUCCUGCAAAGACUUACCGACAUAAUUAACUUCACUAACAUGACUUCAGUGGGAUUAUUUAGGUGCUUAAAAUUAAGCAGAUAUGAUUUGAAAACAAAAAAGCUAAAGGAAGUGUCACCUGCCCUCCAGCCAGCAAUCACUGGCAGAUUUGGCAGGGGUAGAUCCUACAGAGGGGUGUGAAGGAGAAGAAGAGGCUGACGGCCUUUUAGGUUUUUAACCACUCAUUUGUUAGCUGUUUGUCACUAAUGCAGCCUUUUAAUUGCCAGAGUUCCAGCAGGUCCUGGUUAUGCCCAGACCAGGAAUUCAAGAGCAGCCUUUUGUCAAUAUUUCUUUUCACUUCCACUCUUGGCUUAAACCAGAAAGCACAGAGAUGUGGGGCAGGGGAGGGGGUGUGUUAAAGUGAACCAGACUUUUUCUACCCCUAAAAGUUCAGUAUGAGUUCUGGGCCAAGAUUUUCCCAUUUUGUUUGAAGUGGUUUGCCUGACCCAAAAAAUGACCAACCAAACUCCAGUAUUUGCUGCAACAAUGUAAAGUGAUCUCACUAAAGUAAGGUUUCAGAGUAGCAGCCAUGUUAGUCUGUAUUCGCAAAAAGAAAAGGAGUACUUGUGGCACCUUAGAGACUAACCAAUUUAUUUGAGCAUAAGCUUUUGUGAGCUACAGCUCACUUCAUCCGAUGCACUGAAGUAAGCUUGUGGAAAAUCGAAAUUCCCUUAAAAUAGCUGCAAUUUGAGUACACUGAUUAGAACGUGUGGAGGUGGAAUAGAUAAUUUAUGUUCCGAAAUCUUUCCCAUAGUCAGGAAAAUCUCCCUUUCAUUUCAGUGACUUUCUUUUUUGUAUGUAGUAAAAUACAUCCAGAUUUCAAAGGUAACAUAUCAGCUCCCAGAAAGUACCAUGCUUCCCUAGAUACGUUUAAUCUCCCAAAGAGCAGAAUAAAAUAAUGCCCCAUCCGUCAUUCCUGGGUGUUCGUCUUACUGGAGAUAACAGAACUUCACAGAAAUCACAGAGGCUGGCACUACACACACAGCAAUUGACAUGAAGCAGAGGCAUAUUACCAGGUGCUCCAAAAGAAACAAGAACUUUUCCGUAUAGAAAGUGUGGUAAAAUAAAAGCAUGAAGAACUGAAAUAAAUUGAAAUCUUUUAGAGACAGAAUGGUACUAUCUAUUCUACAAUAUUCAGGGUACUGAUACCAGUCCCAUCGUAGCUGAGCCUAGAGGUCUUAAACUCUCAUCUUCCUUGAUGUAUUUAUCUGCGCCCUGUCCCCAUGACAGAUUCAGAUACGGGAAGCUGGAGUUUCAGACUUUGUAAAGGGCUGUAACUGACAAGUUUUCCAACAACCUCUACUACACACAAUCCUUUAUGGACAUGGUUUAUAAUGAUAUCAACCCCUUUUUCUCUCUGCAAGGCUGAAUGCCAUAGCACACCAGUGGGUUGCAGAAUUAGCUAAGUUUAACUUCAAAGUCAAAUAUUGUCCAGAGAAAUCUGAUGUGGAGACAAAUAACCUACCCAGAAGUCCCCUUAUGCAAAAAUGUGACAGAAUGCACUGAAGAGACAGGCAAAGAUGUUUAGAUUAAUGCUGUCUUAUAAUGUAUGGAUGUACACAGAGAUGGCAAGGUACUUUGGUUGACAGCUAUUGCUAGCAGCCUUUUGGCAGUAGGAGACUUAAACCCAUCACAAUGCCUCUUCCACAAGAAGACAUUUUUGGCAGCCCAGAAGGAAAAUCUGGCUAUUGCUAAAUUUCUUCACUGUUAGAUAUAGGGGGAAAAGCCUAAUAACCAAGAUAACAGGGGAGGAUACACAGUAUCUAUUUCUGUAUCUUAUCCUAGAUUCUAUCUGAGACGGAUGUAAAUAUCAGUAAAUGAAGUGAUAUUGCUUUCUGGUAUUGAGAUUGUUCUAUAUCCAAGGUUUUAUCAUUUUGCAUAAUGUACAGGUUUUUUUAUUCAGCAGAUCUUUUUUCUAAAGAGAAUGUGAUAUGCCCAGUGACUUUGCAUUAUGUGGUUAUACCACUGAUUAUAUAGGCAGUGUUAUUUCAUGAGAUAUGAAUGUCUUUGGGACUAUAAACUGUUCAGACCUGGCUAUCCUGUCCAAUUGUGGAACUCAGCUGCCAUAGAGUAUUCCUGCUUGAUUGGCACUCACCUGGCAUUUGAGGGACCCAGGCUGCCAUCCCUUAAAACAGGCAGAGCAGAGAUUUGAACAAGGGUCUCCCAUGUGAGUGCCCAAACCACUAGGCUAUAUACAGUAGUAGUUCUUAUGCUCUCUCUGUGUAGCCCAAUGAAUAUUGAGUUGCUUAUACACAGUGGAACAGCUUCAACAAGCCAGAAUGAAAUUUGAAAGGUUGUUCUCAUUUUACUGAAAUGCCCCCUUUUUAGUUUUUGCUAAAAUGUUUUUGUAGUUUUAAAAUAUUUUUCCAGGUAUUUUUGUCACUUUCAUUUCGGGGGGGGGGGGGAUUUCUUUCCCUUAUUCCCCCAUCCCCACAGUUAUUUCAGAGGCGGGAGGGAGACAAUUUUCAAAAAUGAGUGAAGAGGGAAAAAAGGGAGGAGAGAAGGUAAAAGAAAAUAAGAAAAACCAAAAAAUUAAUAGUAAAACGUAUUUUAAAAUAACAAAAAAAGAAAAUGCCACAUUUUGCAAUGUUUAAGUGACUGUUUUUUUGACAAAUUGUCAGUUAAAAAUAAGUAUUUUUGACAAAAAAUAAUUUGACACAUUUUGACCAGCCCUACUGUAAACAUAGGCCCAGAUAAUCGGCUGGUCCAAAUCAGCAUAGCCCAUUCCCUUCUGAUUUGCAGCACUAGAUGAUCUGGCCCACAUCAUAUUUCCUCCCACAAACCCCGGUAUUCUGCUUUUUACAUUUACCACCUAUACCCAAGACAAAGACACUUGAAAAGCAAAGUUCACUGAUCCGUAUUUAACAAGAAGUAUCUUUGCCCUUCACUGAUUCCAAGGGUUAGAACUUCAGUACGUAACUUGAGUAAUAUUUAAUUGAGUUAAUUACAUAGUCAGUGGAGUUUGAUCUUACGGCUUGUGAUGUUGCACCCCAUAAUGCUUUAUCUAAAUAUGCUUAUGAGUGUAUAUAUGACAUAACUGAAAUAUGUUUUAUCUUACAUAUGCGUGUAACAUAUCUCUGCAAAGGUUUUGAUCCACUCAAUAUAUUCAUCCUAUUUCUAUGCAUGUAUCAUUUUUGUAUUCGAAGUUAUGAAUAUUGGCUGCGUUCUUGUUUAAUUUUAAGUAGCCUUAGUAAAGCAUUUGGUCAGCUUCUUUAGAAAGGAAUUUGCAAGUUAAGUGCGCAGUCAAGAAACACUUAAGCUAACAAUGAACUUGGAGACGUCAAUCCACAUCUGAGUUUUCCCAGGAACGUGGCCUGGAUGGUAAGGAACUCAGUCAUGCAUGGACAUGUGACUUGCCCAUGUGAUUUCAAAAUGCCAUCUUGGAGCUGGAUUUGGCAUGGGAGAGAGGAGGGGGUCUCCACCCACAAGAGAUAGUCUAUUUAAGCCCCUGGGAGGCCCCUCUAUUUGGUCUUCAGCUGGCUCAAGAGAUAGCCUCUCCACCCCCACAGGAUACCUGAAAGAAACUGGAAGAAAGGACAGUAACCAUGGGGGUGUGAGUGGUUGCUGGACCCAGACUAGAAGGAGGCUAGUCUGCAAAAGAAGCUUACUGGAACAUAUCUGAGGGUGCCAGUUUGCUGGAACAUGGCUGUGCGUUUGUUUGAGGCACGACAUCAUGCAGUUUCCUCUCAGAAAUACAGAUUCUCUCCCUCUGAAAAUCUCCAAAGUCUCAUCUUCUCCUACUUGGAAGAAAGAAAGUAGACCCAAUUCGGCUGGCAGUGGAUGUUGCCUGCGGGUCGGGACAAAGCACUCGCGUACUUGCAGCUCAUUUUGAGAAGGUGGUUGGAACAGACAUCAGUGAAGCUCAAAUCGAGGCAGCCAAACAAGCUGCCUCCUUCCCAAAUGUUUCUUACCAACCCGGGACCUGCUUCUUGAAUAUGCAGAUGAAAAAGUAAAACUUGUCUUUGCAGAGUAUAAAGAGGUGUUUGAGUCUGUGCCUUUUCAGGACA